UUGCCCAAAUAUGACCUAAAACUUUCUGUUGGUGCAGUUUGUUCAUCUCAGGCCUUCACUAAUGGUUGGAAUAGCCUUUGACUGAGGAGAGCUCCCCUGUGAGUGCCACAUCUAUAACAUGCCUGCUUUACACAAGUGCGAAACUGGAUGUUGUUACUCAGAGAUAACUCUCCAGCUGGAACUCCCCACAUGAACAAAGCCUCUGAUGUUUCAUACCUGAACAAACAGGGAGAAGUAAAUCACUUAAGCAAGAGCUCUGAGAUGAAGAUGGCAUAUAUAGACCCUCCUGUGAUUCAGAGUAGAAUGACAUCUUAUUUCUAGGAUUAUUAAACAAAAUGUUCUGUUGUGUAAAAACCAAUGAGCACUUAAAAAAAAUAAAUAAAUAAUUAAGAAAGUCUAUGAAACACUGCA